rnacentral:rRNA from 1 species
UUGAGCGGAGAUAUAUGGAGCUUGCUUUAUAUAACUUAGCAGCGAACGGGUGAGUAACACGUAGAUAAUCUAUCCUAUACUGGGGGAUAGCCCGAUGAAAGUUGGAUUAAUACCGCAUAUAGCUAUAUAGUUGCAUGAUUAUGUAGUGAAAGAUUUAUUGGUAUAGGAGGAGUCUGCGGCACAUUAGCUAGUAGGUGAGGUAAAGGCUUACCUAGGCGACGAUGUGUAGCCGGUCUGAGAGGAUGAACGGCCACAAUGGAACUGAGACACGGUCCAUACUCCUACGGGAGGCAGCAGUGGGGAAUAUUGCACAAUGGGGGAAACCCUGAUGCAGCAACGCCGCGUGAGUGAAGAAGGUUUUCGGAUUGUAAAGCUCUGUUAGCAGGGAAGAGGAAGGACGGUACCUGCAGAGGAAGCCACGGCUAACUACGUGCCAGCAGCCGCGGUAAUACGUAGGUGGCAAGCGUUGUUCGGAAUAACUGGGCGUAAAGGAUGCGUAGGCGGUUAAACAAGUUAUAUGUUAAAUAUAUAGGCUUAACCUGUAGAAAGCAUAUAAAACUGUUUAACUAGAGUGCAGGAGAGGUAAGUGGAAUUCCUAGUGUAGCGGUGAAAUGCGUAGAGAUUAGGAAGAACACCAGUGGCGAAGGCGACUUACUGGACUGUAACUGACGCUGAGGCAUGAGAGCAUGGGGAGCAAACAGGAUUAGAUACCCUGGUAGUCCAUGCUGUAAACGAUGGGUACUCGGUGUGGGUUGUGAAUAACAAUUCGUGCCGUCGCAAACGCAAUAAG